ensembl:lncRNA
UUUUUAUUGAUUCAUUAUUAACACUUUAUUAAUGCUUUAUUAAUGCUUGCCGGCAUAUAUAUUGAAAUAUCCUCAAGUAAUUGUUUGCAAAACAUUGAAACAGUGGAAGAGUAUUUAUACUACACAUACAGUGAAACAAAAUGAGUUGCCCAUGGGGGGAGAAAAUUCUAAUAAUUUUGUCCAGAGACAGGCUUGUCAAAAACACUCUAGUCCUCUCCAGAAGAUAGAAUAAACAUUUUUGGACCAGUACAUUGGUGUGAAAACACUUCUAAACAUAACCAACAUUUUCAGACAUAGUGACAGGAGCAAUUAUGAUUAUCAACCUUGCUUAAGUACAAAAUUACAAAUGUUUCCUGGCUUGAGAUUUCAACUAAUAGGCUAUCUGGUUACUGGUCUGGUUACUGGCCAGAUGUUCUAAUCACUAGCCAGUGUGGUUACUGAUUAAAUACUCUAACCCACAGGCAAUCUGGUUACUGGUCAGAUAGGCUGCGAGUUAAAGUAUCUAGUUACUGGUCAGAAAGGCUGUGAAUUAAAGUAUCUAGUUACUGGUCAGAUGUUUUGCCACUGAGACUUUCAAAAAUAGAUAUGGUGAACCUGAUUAAACAAAUAAUACAAAAUUAAUUGUCCAUUCUUAAUUGAUCAAAUUGACUCAACAUCCAAUGUAUUUUUGAAAAGGGUGUAGACCUCUACAUUAACCAGCCAGAUUAAAGAUUAAAGUAACAUUUUCGAAAGAUAAAGUGCACGAUUUCUGGCAACAGGUUGUCAAAUUGCCACUGUCGAGCCAAGAAUUGUCCGUGAACAUUUUCUACUAUUGUCAUGUACUUGCUGAUUUGUGCCCCAUGUCAUCAAGAUCAUUUCAAACUUGGAAUGUAAAAGCUAACUGAGGCAUGGUAGGAAUUCUUCUACAAAUUACACACAUAUAAACAACAUAUUACAUGCUUUUUGUUAAUCGCAAAACUCCCAGACUGAAUCUUAAGGGGAGGGUCUGUAACCUUCUCACUUAUAUUUAUUCACAAUAUUUUGAUGAUCCUUAACCAUGGUGUCAUCUAUAAAAGGUUUUUUAAGUAUUCAGAAACAUCUUCAGUGUUCAGUGAUUCCAAAAUGGCAAAAUAAAUGUUUCAACAUUCAGUUCAGCUUGAUAUCGUAAUUGCACAAAACAAAUAUGGGACAAACAUAGGACUAAUCGUAUUUAGCUGAUUCAUUUAGAGAUUCAAACACUAUGCAGGACAGUUGUUUUUUAUUCAACAUUUAUAUGAAAUACAGAAAAUAACAUAUUCAACUAAGAAAUUCCGAAAAUGGUAUUCUCUAAAUUUCUCUUAAAACUGUACCCCAUUUCAGCCACACAAAACAAAUCUAGAUUUAUGGCAUUUGUAAAUGAGCUAGUGACAGCAUUUUCUAGAUCUUACACAAUGUUAUAGCUAAACCUUCCUUACGUAGGGAAGACGAGCUUUACAGAAAACAUCCCUGUUCAAAGUGUGAACUGGCGGUGCAGCUCACCCCCCUCCCCGCCCUCUCAGGCCAGGCCGCCUCCGUGUUUGCUCAUCUAAUUACAGGGGAGUGGCUGACUGACGGGCCAGCCGUCCCAAAAAAACCCUCCAGGCUAGGGGCUGGGAACGCAACAAACACCCACCCAGCACUGUCUCCAAAAUGUGACGGCAGCAACGUCCAACUGUCAUGGGGGAGCCUUGACUGGCAAAACGCGAAGGCCCAAAGAGAGAUAUUAAAGACAUGAGAGGAAUUGGCAGCGUCGGCACUAACAGGGGGUACACUUGAGAAGUCGAAGCAGGGAGCUGUGGGCAUCGCCAAAGUGUCAGUCAAAGGAAAGUGGGGUUUGGAAAAGGCACAAACACAGACUGACUCACACAGGAGCACUUUUCUCUUUCACUCUCCUAAAAGACAAUAUAUUCAGAAAGGGUAGAGAAGGAAAACCAACAAGGAAAUAGUUUACUGUUAUUGUAUUUCAGACCACAAAGUAUAAAGAUAAGAAGUGUGUCAGUGAGUGUUUGUGUGUGUGUGUGUGUGUGUGUGUGUGUGUGUGUGAGUGUGUGCUCACCUUUCUCACAGGGAGGUAUAAUCCACUGGGGGUUUAAAUGCUCCACUGCUGUCAGGAGGCCUGACAGAAUACCUCAGGGAGCCUGGUAGCUGACCCCCAUCCAUAUUCAGGUCUGACAAACAAAACAGACCUGCACAGGAGGUUAACAUGGAAAAACCACCACUUAACUGGCUCUCUCUCCCAAGGCCUGAGAUCUCAUCAAUCCCUCUAACACUCACCUCACCCUGAGAGGCAAGACAAGAAACCAUUUGAUAGGAAUCAUGAAUAAUCACAGUUGUGCAAGCGCGCUGUGCCCAUUUCUUAAAUGCAUUAUGGGGAUUACACACAAAAUCACACAAUGUAACAUUUUCAAAUGUGUUAUGAAUGCUUCCCGGAAUCCAAUUCAAAUCCUAGGUUACCAAAUAAGCCUGAACAAAUCCUCCACAUUGAGUUUUUACUCCUUUGAACUCUGUAACGGAGAGGUCCAGUCUGCAGGGCAGGUUUUACCAUGCCAGGCACAGACAGACCCCUCAACCCCAGGAUAGAGAUUGGGCUAGCCUAACACUGGGAGGGUGGGGGAGAGAGAGGGCUAGCCUAACACUGGGAGGGUGGGGGAGAGAGAGGGCUUGCCUAACAGUUGGAGGAUGGGGGAGAGAGAGGACUAGCCUAACACUGGGAGGGUGGGGGAGAGAGAGGUCUAGCUUAGCACUGGGAGGGUGGGGGAGAGAGAGGUCUAGUCUAACACUGGGAGGGUGGGGGAGAGAGAGGUCUAGUCUAACACUGGGAGGGUGGGGGAGAGAGAGGUCUAGCCUAACACUGGGAGGAUGGGGGAGAGAGAGGUCUAGCCUAACACUGGGAGGGUGGGGGAGAGAGAGGUCUAGCUUAGCACUGGGAGGGUGGGGGAGAGAGAGGUCUAGUCUAACACUGGGAGGGUGGGGGAGAGAGAGGUCUAGCUUAGCACUGGGAGGGUGGGGGAGAGAGAGGUCUAGUCUAACACUGGGAGGGUGGGGGAGAGAGAGGUCUAGCCUAACACUAGGAGGGUGGGGGAGAGAGGUCUAGCCUAACACUGGGAGGGUGGGGGAGAGAGAGGUCUAACCUAGCACUGGGAGGGUGGGGGGGAGGUCUAGCCCUAGCACUGGGAGGGUGGGGGAGAGAGAGGGCUAGCCUAGCACAGGUAGGGUGGGGGAGAGAUGGCUAAGAUUGCACAGGGUGGUUGGGUUAGAGCGAGGGCUAGCCUAACACUGGGAGGAUGGGGGAAAGAGAGGGCCUCACUUAGAAAGUGAGUUACUUGAGAGAGAAAAAGAUAGGAAGAGAAAAUAAGAGUGAGUGAGAGAGAGAACUAGCAUGCCCUGUACAUGUAUGCUCAGGUCCACAGGAUGGCUGGUUGCAGAAGGUACUGCUGCUUGGCAGUUAAGUAAGCAAAGAUAUAUUUAUUUUCACACUGCUUUUGGCUGGAGGGUAAGUCAGCCUUACUAUUAGUCAACCAGGUUGUUGUAAAACCAAACACACGAGUUUGAGUACAAUGGACUUGAUGCAUGAAUAGCAUUAAAAAUAUUGGCAUGACAUAUCAUCAAUUAAAAUCAUUUUAAUAUAACAUCUUAACACUCAUGAGUCACACUCAAGAGCGAAUAUUGAGGCAUUGCUCCUACAGUGACCUUAUGAACAGAAACAAAGUAUGAAUCUGGCUUCACCUUGAGUUUUAUUUUUUAUCCUGUAUAAUUUGUCCUUGUUGGAUUUCCACGGGUCUUGACUUUGCUCCCUCAUUUAGAUGGUCUGAAGGAGAGUCUAUUAAAUUGAUUCCAUGUGUUUGUUGCAGAGGCUCUGUGCAAACAAAAGACAAACAAUUACAGCACUGAUUAAUAGGCAUGCAAUAUUACGGCUGGAGCCACCUCAGCACACACUGAGCCCACAAACAUAUACUGUAUCGCCUCAGUGACUACCCAGCUUUAUGGAGGAGAAUACCAUUCUAUAAGUCUAAUACCCAUACAGUCAUGACUAUUACAGUGCUACCAUUUUAUGAGAAUGUUAUCAUAGAUAGCAGAUUUCUGAGAUAAGUCAAUACAGUAACCAAGUGAGAACACCAAUGCUGAUACAAUUGGGGGGGUUUUUCGACUUAAAUUUCAGCCCUAGAAAUGAAAUAUGCUCUAGAUGACUAAGUAUAUAUAAGACUCCGGGAAUUAUAAAACAACAAACAACAGAUACAACUUUUCAAGAGCAUACCUUAGUACCAGUAGUCUAGAUCAUUAUACCUAUCAAAUUUUAGCCAUGUUUUCAUCCUAUCACUACCCAUCUGUUCACACUCAUUGAAAACCCCACAUCAAAUCCUGAAUAAAUAUGGUAGAUAACAGUUUGCAGAUAGUAGAACUUCAACAACAGACAGUUUGUGAUUCUAUACAAUAUGAUUAUUAUGCAAAAUAGUAAAUAGACUCAUAUAUUUAGUACAUUAAUAAAAUAAAAGCAAUCGC